UAUCUCUGUAGAGUCUGCAUAUCAAUAAGCGGAGGAAAAGAAACUAACUAGGAUUCCCUCAGUAACGGCGAGUGAAGCGGGAAGAGCUCAAAUUUGAAAUCUUCAAGGUUUUACCUUGACGAAUUGUAGUUUAAAGAAGUGUUUUCUGUUGGAGUUUUGGUAAAAGUUCUUUGGAAUAGGACAUCAUAGAGGGUGAGAAUCCCGUAUUUGACCAUUAUUUCCAGCUUUGUGAUACACUUUCAAAGAGUCGGAUUGUUUGGGAAUGCAGUCCAAAAUGGGUGGUAAAUUUCAUCUAAAGCUAAAUACUGGCGAGAGACCGAUAGCGAACAAGUACCGUGAGGGAAAGAUGAAAAGAACUUUGAAAAGAGAGUUAAACAGUACGUGAAAUUGUCAAAAGGGAAGCGUUCGACACCAGUGUUGUUUUCUCGAAAAUCAAUUAAAAAUGGUAGGAUUUUGUGUUGUAUUGACUUUAUCAGCUUUCUGCACUCUUUUCCUGAUCUUUUUUAAUGCACUUUUCGUUUAACAAGUCAACAUCAAUUUCUUUUGUUGUAAAAGAGUCAUUGGAAGGUGGCUUUCUUUUCGGAGAAAGUGUUUAUAGCCUUUGGCUUCUGCAAUCGGAGAGAUUGAGGUCUGCAGCGUAGAUCCUUCGGGGUUAGAUACAUUUGUGCUAAGUUAUAGCCUUUCAUAGACAACUUGUUGACUAUGAUCAGUCAUGUAGCUUACUCGCUUAUGCUAUUUUACCUACGCUUAGGAUGUUGAGUCAUCACACAUCUCU
rnacentral:rRNA from 1 species